rnacentral:rRNA from 1 species
GGUGAACGCUGGCGGCGGGCCUAAUACAUGCAAGUCGAGCGAACCUACCGGGAGUUUUCUCCUAUGGGUUUGUCACCCGUCGGAACGUUCCCAUAGGUUCGGCCUAACUCUGGGACUCUGGUGCUAUCACCAAAUCGGCGCUACUGGGGAAAGAUUUAUCGCCUUUAGAGGGGCCCGCGUCGGAUUAGCUAUUUGGUUCAGGUAUUGGCUCACCAAGGCCACGAUAAGUAGCUGGUCUGGGAGGAUGAUCAGCCACAUUGGGACUGAGACACGGCCCAAACUCCUACGGGAGGCAGCAGUGGGGAAUCUUGCGCAAUGGGCGAAAGCCUGACGCAGCCAUGCCGCGUGAAUGAUGAAGGUCUUAGGAUUGUAAAAUUCUUUCACCGGGGACGAUAAUGACGGUACCCGGAGAAGAAGCCCCGGCUAACUUCGUG